AAAUGUUCAAUAAAUUGAUUCAAGUCUGAUGCUACUUCCAUCCAGGUUGGUCUUAAACUGGUUUCAGCCUUUUUGAAAGCUGUUUAUGUGCAUUCUAUUGCGUUACAG